AGCGAAUGGUGUCUGAGUUAAUCAGAGAUGGUACAAUUCCUGGCCAUGACAAGUUCUAGUAUUUGAUCAUGGCAAUGAGACUGUCAAGAAAUGAAAAGACUUGGAUAUCGAAUAAGUUGAAACUUUUAUAGUUACUAACUAGGAAAGUCUGACAAUGCUUGAUACCAAAGUAAAUGCAUAUAAAUAUUCAGACAUCCAAAUGAAAUUCAGCAAGAACGCCUUGUCGGUCACCAUCCCAACAUAAGCCAUGGGCUGUGUGGGAUAGUGAAGGCCCUGGUAUAGCUGCUUGGGACAGUAACACAGAGAAACAAGGAUGUCCAUAUUUCCCAGUCCUUUCUAGCCCAGCAUUUUUUUAAUGUAGUAUUUAAGCAUAAUGGAUGUAAAAACGUGAUGGCUGAACAAUCACCACCUUAGUUAAGAGCUUUUAAGUUUUCUAUUUGGAUUAUUUGGGCAGCCUGCCUUCUAUUCUCAAGUUUGCCAGAUUAAUCUGCUUAUAAAAGCUACCAUGCAUCUUCGUUUUCGAAGAAUAUCACUGAAUACUUAUUUUUCUUUCAAGACGACAAAGGCCUGCAAGAAUAUCUAGAACUUUAUUCUAUCAGUUAAAUAUUAUUUCCCAUUGAAACAGACAUCAAGACAUAGUAGAAAAUACACAAGCUUUGACUUCACACAGCUUUGGUUCUUUUUUAUGCUCUUAAUUUCUAUGUGAUCUUAAGCAAGUUUCAGUUUUCUAGUGUAUUAAAAAAAGAGAUACGGAUAUAUAUAGUUUUUGCUUAAGUUAAUUUGCUUUGUGAUUUAUAAUAGAUCUUUGCCAGUUUCUCUUUGAUAAUAACUAGUGUUGUAGUGAACAGAAAACACUGACUUUGGAAAUAGUUUUUUAACUUAGUGUCCAAAAUCGUCAAGUCACUAAUAUUUGAUUGUGGACAAAAGGGGUGUAAUAACAUCUACCUUGAAGGACUGAAUGAGAGUUCAAGGAAUGCAAGCGUAGUGCUUGGCCCGUAAGAACACACUGAAUCAUUCUAAUUAUAAUUCUAAAAUCUAAUUAGGAUUUAGAAGAAUUAAGUUGCUAGUGAGUUAGCAGUGCACACACACAUACACAAUUAAAUGAAUCAAGUUAACCAGACACAUGUAUGCACACAAAUGUAUGAAUGUUUAUUUUUGUAUCUAUCUUAGGCAUUAUCUCUAAAAUUGCCUUUGAUUUCCUUUUAUGAUGAUGAAAAUUUAGCUCUCAUUUCCAUUCUAUCAUCUUUCCAACGUUGGGCAUUCAACAUAUACAUUUUAGGGGAACGCAAUUCAGCCCACAACAUGCUGCAUAAUGAGCAAUUCAUAACCUCAUUGGCCUAAAACCACAUUUAUUUUUCCUUUAUGUUACACAAAGGCUAUAGGUUGGCUUCACGAAUGAUCUACAUAUCUUUUUCAUACUGUGACUAUGCUGGACGAGAAGACCCCAUUUGAGACAUACCAUAUAUGAGGUUAAAAAAAAAAUGGUAUAUUGAGGUGAACUACCUAUCUUUGUGAGGUUCGAGGACCAGCCAGAGACUUGCAUAGAAUCUAUAAACAUAACAUGGGGUUCCUCUCCACUUUCUAGAAGUUUUCUCUGAGAUUUUCCCCAAUAAAUCCUCAUAGCUGUGAUUAACCAAAUUCUAUCCUCUAGUCCUGCAAGCCAGUAACAGCAAGAUAAUUCCUCCAAAUGUUAGUCAUCCCACAAGAUGCUCAUGUUGAAAGCCAUUAAAAUGGAAUUAAAUUUUUCACUCACUAUCACUCCCUUCCUCCAAAGGUCAUCUCCUGUCCAGUAUCUGCCUGGUUUUUGUGGCUCUCCAGCAUAGUAGUCGUUUUUAAUAUUUAAUGUAGAGUGUAUUAUCUGUGAAGGGAUCAGACCAAUAGGAGACAUUCUGAAGUAUUUCUAAUAAGUUAAAAAUUACAUUCCUUAUUUUAUAAAGGAAUACUGCAAGUUGAGACCAUUUAAUCUUCUGCGGGGUUACACAUAUUUUUAGUCUCAUGCAUAGUAAAAUAUAACUAUAUAUGACUAAUUGAUUUGGCCGCUUUAAGUUCAUUAAGAUAGAGAACUAGCAAAUGUAUUCAAAGACAUGCUGUUUUAAUUUUUCUCAAGAGUGCUCAAUAAAUAGAACUAGGCUAACAAUGCACUGCUAGUAGGUGUCCUCAAGCAAUCUGUUUGGAAGAAUAUCAAUUGCUUAGAAAAGCACUUUCAAUGUACUUGAGAAUGAUUUGAAGGCAUUUAAUCUCUUUCUCCUAACUCAUAUACCUCUUGAGUUUGCCUGGAAAAUCUUUUCUUUAGGGAAUAAAUAAAAAAUACAUUUUCUCUGGCCCAAUAUUUAUGUAAUUCCAUUGUACUAUGUCUGAUUUCCCACUAUUUUAGCCAACUUCAUUUUCUUUGGAACUGUCUAGAAGAAAAAUAAUGUCCAAUGAAAAUCACUAUAAUAUAUAAACAAUCAAAAUUGUGAUGUGCCAACUGCCAUAGUCACAUUUAAUAUGCAAUAAAGUCCCCAUUCAGGAUUUUGAUUGGUUAUGUGAUUGCUUAUAUUCUCCCUCUUCUUUGGGGUAAUUUUUUCAUAGUUUUCAAAAAAGGUAGCCUACAUGAUAAUUUCUUACAUGGAGGAAAAUUUAUGUUAGAAAGAAAGCAACAAUAUUGACUUUGACAAAAUAAUUAAAAAAAAAAACUCAACUGACAAAUCAUUUGGCAAUAAGUUAAGUUUUAUCACAAUGGAAAAGUACAGUGUAUGGCUUCAUGACUAUCAAUGAUCAUUUAAAACUUCUUUUAAAGUGCACAUCACUUUAAUGCACUUCAACUUUUGCCAUACUCUAUUGCCUUCAUUAUUCCAAGGUGGCUUUGGAUAUUGCUUGUCCAAAGAUUUAAAUUAUGUAUCUUUCUAUACAUAGAGCUUCACAGAAGCUCAGUGAGCCAGUAUGCAUGACUGUCAUAAUUUGAAAGACAUCCUCCUAAUUUGAAAGACAUCUGGAACCGGACUUAGGUGAGGCCAUGUGACAUUCCUCCUUGAAAUUGAGUCAUUAGUAUUAUUUAAAUUUAACUUACUUAGUUCCUUUCUAAGAAGAAUUUUCACUGCUUCAUCCUUCUUAUUUCAUUUCAUGCCUAAGGCUUACAGUGAAAAGUUGCCUUGAUUCCAGGUUUUUAUUUCAUUCUAUAUUAGAAAAAUAUAUUUGAUUCCUUGAAAUUAUUUUAUUUCUCAUUAUUCUAAUAUUGUACUCUCGUCCUCAUAUACUAACCUAGGCCUUCAACUAAGACUCAAAUUUUCUACAUUUUAGGACAUGACUUUGAGUUUCUGUUAUAUAUAUUCUCUCUAUCUACUUUUUGAAUAUCAGUGUUCUCCAAAGUUUCCCACUCUGGAUAUUCUGGAUAGAAGGAAAAAUGAGAAUGGCUAAAUUUUUGGGUUGAGUGGUGAAGAAUGAUGGUGUCAUAUACAGACAUAUGGAACACUAGUGGUGUAAGGCAGUAAACGAUGAAUUCUCCUUGACAUGUGUAAUUCUUUGCUUUUGAAACAUAUAAAUAGAUAUGUCCACUAAGCAUUUGAAAAUGUGAGUUUAGAGAAAUGUAGUAUGGGUGAUGCUAGUGAAACCAUACAGGAAAACAAUUUCUUUAAUGUUAUAGCAUAUAAUAUAUAGGUUUUCAUCUCCUUGUUUAAAUUUAUUCCUAGGUAUUUAAUUCUGUUUGAUGCAAUUAUAAAUGGGUAUUCUAAAAAUUUCUUUUUCUGGAGUUCCCGUCGUGGAGCAGUGGAAAUGAAUCCAACUGGGAACCAUGAGGUUGUGGGUUCUAUCCCUGGCCUUGCUCAGUGGGUUGGGGAUCCAGGAGUCCCAUGGGGUGUGGUGUAGGUUGCAGAUGAGGCUUGGAUCUGGCGUUGCUGUAGCAGUGGCAUAGGCCGGCAGCUGUAGCUCCAGUUGGAUCCCUGGCCUGGGAAACUUCAUGUGCCAUGGGUGCGGCCCUAAAAAGACAAAAAAAAAAAAAAAAUUAUUUUUCUGAGAGUUCACUAUUGAUGUAUAUAAAAUAAAAAUUUUUGUGUAUUGAUUUUGUAUCAUGCAACUUUACAGAAUUUAUUAGUUCGAACAAUUUUCUUAUGAUUUCUCUAGGGUUUUCUAUGUAUGAUACCAUAUAAUCUGCAAUAGUGACAUUUUUACUUCCUACUUUCCAAUUUGGAUGGCUUUAUUUUUCUUGCCUAAUGGCUCUGUCUAGAACUUCCAAAACCAUGUUGAAUAAAAGUGAGAAGAAUAGGCAUUCACGCCUUAUUCCUGAUCUUAGAAGAAAUGCUUUCAGCCUUUCAAUGUUGAGUAUGAUGUUAACUGUGGGGUUGUCAUAUAUAAUGUUUGCUAUGUUGAGGCAUAUUCCUUCUAUAUUCACUUUAUUGAAAGUUUUUAUCAUGAAUGAAUACUGAAUUGUGUCGAAUACUUUUUCUGCAUCAUUGAGAUGAUCAUAUGAUUUUUAUUCUUCAUUUUAAGGCAAUGAAACACAUUGCCUGAUUUGCAGAUAUUAACCCAUCCUUACAUUCCCAGAAUAAAUCCCCCUUACUCCUGUUUUAUGAUCUUUUUAAUGUAUUGUUGGAUUUGGCUUGCAAUAUUUUGUUGAG
rnacentral:lncRNA from 1 species